GAGUUUGAUCAUGGCUCAGAUUGAACGCUGGCGGCAUGCCUUACACAUGCAAGUCGAGCGGCAGCGCGGGGGCAACCCUGGCGGCGAGCGGCGAACGGGUGAGUGAUGCAUCGGAACGUGUCCUCUUGUGGGGGAUAACCAGUCGAAAGACUGGCUAAUACCGCAUGAGAUCGAGAGAUGAAAGCAGGGGACCGCAAGGCCUUGCGCGAGAGGAGCGGCCGAUGCCGGAUUAGCUAGUUGGCGGGGUAACGGCCCACCAAGGCGACGAUCCGUAGCUGGUCUGAGAGGACGACCAGCCACACUGGGACUGAGACACGGCCCAGACUCCUACGGGAGGCAGCAGUGGGGAAUUUUGGACAAUGGGGGCAACCCUGAUCCAGCCAUGCCGCGUGUGUGAAGAAGGCCUUCGGGUUGUAAAGCACUUUCGGACGGAACGAAAUCGCGCGGGUGAAUAUCCCGCGUGGAUGACGGUACCGUAAGAAGAAGCACCGGCUAACUACGUGCCAGCAGCCGCGGUAAUACGUAGGGUGCGAGCGUUAAUCGGAAUUACUGGGCGUAAAGUGUGCGCAGGCGGCGUCGCAAGUCGAGUGUGAAAUCCCCGGGCUUAACUUGGGAAUUGCGCUCGAAACUACGGUGCUGGAGUAUGGCAGAGGAAGGUGGAAUUCCACGUGUAGCGGUGAAAUGCGU
rnacentral:rRNA from 1 species